rnacentral:rRNA from 1 species
GAUAAUGCUGGGAUGUGAUGGGGAGCGAAAUUUAGUAGCGAAGUAGCUGAUUUUCACACUGUCAAGAAAAGUCUCUAUCGAGGUUAAAGGUACCCGUACCGCAAACCGACACAGGUGGGUGAGGAGAGUAUCCUAAGGCCAGCGAGAGAACUGUUGUUAAGGAACUCGGCAAAAUGACCCCGGUAACUUAGGGAUAAGGGGGUGCCACCAUCAGGUGGCCGCAGAGAAUAGGCCCAAGCGACUGUUUACCAAAAACAUAGGUUUCUGCUAAGUCGCAAGACGAUGUAUAGGAGCUGACGCCUGCCCGGUGCUGGAAGGUUAAGGGAAUCUGUUAGAGCAAUCGAAGCAGUGAACUUAAGCCCCAGUAAACGGCGGCCGUAACUAUAACGGUCCUAAGGUAGCGAAAUUCCUUGUCGGGUAAGUUCCGACCCGCACGAAAGGCGUAACGAUUUGGGCACUGUCUCAACAACAGACUCGGUGAAAUUGUAAUUCCGGUGAAGAUGCCGGAUACCUGCGACAGGACGGAAAGACCCCAUGGAGCUUUACUGUAGCUUGACAUUGGGUCUUGGUACUACAUGUACAGGAUAGGUGGGAGGCUUUGAAACCAGGACGCCAGUUUUGGCGGAGCCAUCCUUGGGAUACCACCCUUGUAGUACUGGGACUCUAACCAUAGGCCAUGAAUCUGGUCUUGGGACACUGUCAGGUGGGCAGUUUGACUGGGGCGGUCGCCUCCCAAAAGGUACGGAGGCGCUCAAAGGUUCUCUCAGUACGGUCGGAAAUCGUACGUAGAGUGUAAAGGCAAAAGAGAGCUUGAUUGCAAGACAUACAGGUCGAGCAAGGAUGAAAAUCGGACUUAGUGAUCCGGUGGUUCUGCGUGGAAGGGCCAUCGCUCAACGGAUAAAAGCUACCCUGGGGAUAACAGGCUUAUCUCCCCCAAGAGUCCACAUCGACGGGGAGGUUUGGCACCUCGAUGUCGGCUCAUCACAUCCUGGGGCUGUAGUAGGUCCCAAGGGUUGGGCUGUUCGCCCAUUAAAGUGGUACGCGAGCUGGGUUCAGAACGUCGUGAGACAGUUCGGUCCCUAUCCGUCGCAGGCGUAGGAAAUUUGAGAAGACCUGUCCUUAGUACGAGAGGACCGGGAUGGACGUACCUCUGGUGUACCAGUUGUCCUGCCAAGGGCAUGGCUGGGUAGCUAUGUACGGAAUGGAUAAGCGCUGAAAGCAUCUAAGCGCGAAGCCAACUUCAAGAUAAGAUUUCCCACCGCAAGGGUAAGACCCCAGAAAGACUAUCUGGUUGAUAGGUCGAAGGUGUAAGUGCAGCAAUGUAUUUAGCUUAUCGAUACUAAUAGGUCGAGGACUUGACCA